UAGGGAAUCUUCGGCAAUGGGGGGAACCCUGACCGAGCAACGCCGCGUGAGUGAAGAAGGUUUUCGGAUCGUAAAGCUCUGUUGUAAGAGAAGAACGGGUGUGAGAGUGGAAAGUUCACACUGUGACGGUAUCUUACCAGAAAGGGACGGCUAACUACGUGCCAGCAGCCGCGGUAAUACGUAGGUCCCGAGCGUUGUACGGAUUUAUUGGGCGUAAAGCGAGCGCAGGCGGUUAGAUAAGUCUGAAGUUAAAGGCUGUGGCUUAACCAUAGUAUGCUUUGGAAACUGUUUAACUUGAGUGCAGAAGGGGAGAGUGGAAUUCCAUGUGUAGCGGUGAAAUGCGUAGAUAUAUGGAGGAACACCGGUGGCGAAAGCGGCUCUCUGGUCUGUAACUGACGCUGAGGCUCGAAAGCGUGGGGAGCAAACA
rnacentral:rRNA from 1 species